UCCUUGCCUUGGUCCCUGAGAACCGUCUUCCGACCCUUCCUCCUUCGGUGCUGACUGCUCCCGCGGCUCUUUACGCUGAGAUGUUUCACUGACUUCUGCCUGAGAUCUGGAAAAGGAACACUGCCCAAUAGAUGAACAUUGCGCAGGGACUGUGCUAAACAGAAAACUGUCAGUCACUGCGGGAAUGUGCCUCCCUGAUCGCCGCGAUCGCCCGCUGCCGCAGCUGUUUCUCCUUCACACGCAUAGGCUCCCUGUCUUGCAUGGGAGGGAGCAGACCCAGGGGACACCAGACCAACUUGAGUUCACAUGGGUUGACUAUCCACACCUCUCUCCUCUGUCUUUGGUAUCCCGUGAAGUGUGCUGUGUCUCCUCUACCCUGUGAUUCCUGUUCAUCUCAGGAAGCAGCUGAAAGGGUCAGGAAGGUCCUGGGACAUUAAACUACUGUUUGGAUGA
rnacentral:lncRNA from 1 species